GACGAGCGCUGGCGGCGUGCUUAACACAUGCAAGUCGAACGGAAAGGCCUCAGCUUGCUGGGGUACUCGAGUGGCGAACGGGUGAGUAACACGUGGGUGAUCUGCCUUGCACUCUGGGAUAAGCUUGGGAAACUGGGUCUAAUACCGGAUAUGAACUGCCUUUAGUGUGGUGGUUGGAAAGUUUUUUCGGUGCAAGAUGAGCUCGCGGCCUAUCAGCUUGUUGGUGGGGUAAUGGCCUACCAAGGCGUCGACGGGUAGCCGGCCUGAGAGGGUGUACGGCCACAUUGGGACUGAGAUACGGCCCAGACUCCUACGGGAGGCAGCAGUGGGGAAUAUUGCACAAUGGGCGGAAGCCUGAUGCAGCGACGCCGCGUGGGGGAUGACGGCCUUCGGGUUGUAAACUCCUUUCGACAGGGACGAAGCUUUUUGUGACGGUACCUGUAUAAGAAGCACCGGCUAACUACGUG
rnacentral:rRNA from 1 species